ensembl:snRNA U1 U1 spliceosomal RNA
CUACUUAACUGGCAGGGAGGUAUCAUGGUCAUGAAGGUGAUUUUCAAAGUUGAGCCUCAUUCCUUGCACUUCUGCUGACCUGACCACUGCAAAUUCUGUGAUCUAGGAAACUUCACUGUAAAAUUGUAAUGUGAGAUACUGUAUGUAUAUGUUCUCUUG